rnacentral:rRNA from 1 species
AGUGAACGCUGGCGGUAGGCCUAACACAUGCAAGUCGAACGGCAGCACAGUAAGGGCUUGCUCUUACGGGUGGCGAGUGGCGGACGGGUGAGGAAUACAUCGGAAUCUACUUUUUCGUGGGGGAUAACGUAGGGAAACUUACGCUAAUACCGCAUACGACCUACGGGUGAAAGCAGGGGAUCUUCGGACCUUGCGCGAUUGAAUGAGCCGAUGUCGGAUUAGCUAGUUGGCGGGGUAAAGGCCCACCAAGGCGACGAUCCGUAGCUGGUCUGAGAGGAUGAUCAGCCACACUGGAAUUGAGACACGGUCCAGACUCCUACGGGAGGCAGCAGUGGGGAAUAUUGGACAAUGGGCGCAAGCCUGAUCCAGCCAUACCGCGUGGGUGAAGAAGGCCUUCGGGUUGUAAAGCCCUUUUGUUGGGAAAGAAAAGCAGCAGGUUAAUACCCCGCUGUUCUGACGGUACCCAAAGAAUAAGCACCGACUAACUUCGUG